rnacentral:rRNA from 1 species
AUGUGCAAGCAUUGAAUCGAAGCCCCAGUGAACGGCGGCCGUAACUAUAACGGUCCUAAGGUAGCGAAAUUCCUUGUCAGGUAAGUUCUGACCCGCAUGAAAGGCGUAAUGAUUUGGGCACUGUCUCAACAGCCCGCCCGGCGAAAUUGUAGUACCGGUGAAGAUGCCGGUUACCCGCGACAAGACGGAAAGACCCCAUGGAGCUUUACUGUAGCCUAAUAUUGGGUUUCGAUGUUGCAUGCACAGGAUAGAUGG